CCGACCAGUGAUGAGAAAGUGUUUAUGAACAAAAGAUCAUGAUGAAUCCAGGCCUGCACAAAACACCAGGGUCCAUU
ensembl:snoRNA small nucleolar RNA SNORD112